CCUACGGGUGGCAGCAGUGGGGAAUCUUGCACAAUGGGCGAAAGCCUGAUGCAGCAACGCCGCGUGGGUGAAGAAGGUUCUUGGAUUGUAAAGCCCUUUCGGCUAGGAAGAAGGGUCUGCGUGCUAAUACCACGUAGAUUUGACGGUACUAGAAGAAGAAGCACCGGCUAACUCCGUGCCAGCAGCCGCGGUAAUACGGAGGGUGCGAGCGUUGUUCGGAUUGAUUGGGCGUAAAGCGCAUGUAGGCGGGUUCGUAAGUCGGAUGUGAAAGCCCU
rnacentral:rRNA from 1 species